GGUCAUAUACCAUACAUACGCCAAUACCCUGAAAGUCUGGCCGGUUCCAGCGUUUACCUGUCUGUAGAAGCCAAGGAUAGGGGAACUGCGGCUCGUUCUUCAACAGGUACCGUAGUCAUAACGCUAGAAGCUACAACUACUACGUCAACGACAAUGACAACGGAGAACGUAGCUAUAUUUAGUAUCUUGAUGAUUCUAGUGUUGCUGGCAUUCUUAAUUGGUCUCUACUUCCUGUUCCGGUGGUGUAUUACCGGAAGUUGUUGUGGUGGGAAAAGUGGUCAAGGUGGUAUUUGUGACAACUGCUGUAGACCAACUCCACCUAGACGUGUUCAACCGUUACCCAUGGUAUACGAAGACUAUGUUGUGCCGCCAGUAGCAUCCAGUGAUUAUAAAGGUGAUUUCUGGCAUACAGGAGAUUCCUAUGCCCAUGGUAGACCAUACUGAUGAUAAUAUACACUGGUUAUAUAAAUGUAUAUACUAUACACUGGUUAUAUAACUGUAUAUACUAUACACGGGU